AUUGAACGCUGGCGGCAUGCUUUACACAUGCAAGUCGAACGGUAACAGGCCGCAAGGUGCUGACGAGUGGCGAACGGGUGAGUAAUGCAUCGGAACGUGCCCAGUCGUGGGGGAUAACGCAGCGAAAGCUGCGCUAAUACCGCAUACGAUCUAUGGAUGAAAGCGGGGGACCGUAAGGCCUCGCGCGAUUGGAGCGGCCGAUGUCAGAUUAGGUAGUUGGUGAGGUAAAGGCUCACCAAGCCGACGAUCUGUAGCUGGUCUGAGAGGACGACCAGCCACACUGGGACUGAGACACGGCCCAGACUCCUACGGGAGGCAGCAGUGGGGAAUUUUGGACAAUGGGCGCAAGCCUGAUCCAGCAAUGCCGCGUGCAGGAAGAAGGCCUUCGGGUUGUAAACUGCUUUUGUACGGAACGAAAAGGCUCUGGUUAAUACCUGGGGCUCAUGACGGUACCGUAAGAAUAAGCACCGGCUAACUACGUGCCAGCAGCCGCCGUAACAC
rnacentral:rRNA from 1 species